rnacentral:misc_RNA from 1 species
AAGUCGUAACAAGGUAACCGUAGGUGAACCUGCGGUUGGAUCAUUAACUAAAUAAAAGGUUUGUUGCUGGGAUAACCGGUAACAGCCUAUUUACCCUUGUGAACAUGUUAUAGUCUCUGGCGGGUUAGCGCCCGCUACUUUAUUGAACCCUAUGAAUAAACAUAUGCCUAAAGAAACAUUAUUAAAAUUUAAACAACUUUUAACAACGGAUCUCUAGGCUCUC